rnacentral:rRNA from 1 species
CCUACGGGGGGCAGCAGUGGGGAAUAUUGGACAAUGGGCGAAAGCCUGAUCCAGCCAUGCCGCGUGUGUGAAGAAGGCCUUCGGGUUGUAAAGCACUUUCAGUGGGGAAGAAAGCCUUGGGGCUAAUACCCUCGAGGAAGGACAUCACCCACAGAAGAAGCACCGGCUAACUCCGUGCCAGCAGCCGCGGUAAUACGGAGGGUGCGAGCGUUAAUCGGAAUUACUGGGCGUAAAGCGCGCGUAGGCGGUCUGAUAAGCCGGUUGUGAAAGCCCCGGGCUCAACCUGGGAACGGCAUCCGGAACUGUCAGGCUAGAGUGCAGGAGAGGAAGGUAGAAUUCCCGGUGUAGCGGUGAAAUGCGUAGAGAUCGGGAGGAAUACCAGUGGCGAAGGCGGCCUUUUGGACUGACACUGACGCUGAGGUGCGAAAGCGUGGGUAGCAAACAGGAUUAGAUACCCUGGUAGUC